rnacentral:rRNA from 1 species
UGGGGAAUAUUGGGCAAUGGGCGCAAGCCUGACCCAGCCAUGCCGCGUGUGUGAAGAAGGCCCUCGGGUUGUAAAGCACUUUCAGUAGCGAAGAAAAGCUUAGGGUUAAUACCCAUGAGUCUUGACGUUAACUACAGAAGAAGCACCGGCUAACUCCGUGCCAGCAGCCGCGGUAAUACGGAGGGUGCGAACGUUAAUCGGAAUUACUGGGCGUAAAGCGCGCGUAGGCGGUUCGACAAGUGGGGUGUGAAAGCCCAGGGCUCAACCCUGGAACUGCAUUCCAAACUGUCGGGCUAGAGUAUGGUAGAGGGAGGUAGAAUUUCCUGUGUAGCGGUGAAAUGCGUAGAUAUAGGAAGGAAUACCGGUGGCGAAGGCGGCCUCCUGGACCAAUACUGACGCUGAGGUGCGAAAGCGUGGGGAGCAAACAGGAUUAGAUACCCCCGUAGUCC